AAUUCGGAACAGUAAGAAAUUGACAAUGAAUAAUAAAUGCAUAUAAUGAAUUGCUGUGGAGGCAAGAACAAGAGCAAAACAUGAUUUUCUUCGGUUUUCUUCCGACAUUUAAAAAAAAAAUUUUCGAAAAAGUAAACAUAUUUUUUCUUUUGAAAACACUAUUAGCAUCGUAUAAAUAUUAAUGUAAUAUAUAUUGAACGUGUAUCAGUCGGUAUUCACUCGCAAUCCAUCAAUAUCCAAUAUAGAUCGCAAAACAAAUAUCACGAUAAAUAUUGAAGCCUUAGGUUAUAGGGCCCCUACACCACACAAAAUCAUUGCACAAUAACAGACUUGUCUCGGUUGGUCCACUUUCACACGGGCAACUUUUGUUGCUAAUUCUCGGGCGAUUCUCUUUUGCUGUCGCCCCUUGCGUUCACACGAGCAAUUCUUGUUCGACAACUCUGUUCGGGUUUUUCUGUCAUUCUCUUUCAUAUAAUUUUCUCAACUUCUUGUACGCAUCGUUUCCAAGCAAAAAAAUAUAUUUCAUUAAGUAACACAAAGCGUGUUGCCUGAACACAGCAGACUCGGCGCGAUUCUCCUCUCCUCGUCGCCCCCUCUCCUAUAAAACUAAGAAUUGCCGCGACAAAAAUUGACCGUGUGAAAGGGGUCUUGUUUGUGUGGCGUAUGGGGGUAUUUGUGCAAAAUUGCGCAGUUGUUGUGCUAAAAUCAAAAUCAGUUUGAUAUUUUACACAAGUCUGAACUAUUGCACAAUGAAUUUGUGUGACGUAUGGCGAUAACAGCGCAAAUUUCAGUUCAGUUUUGGCACUGUGAUGUGAACAUACUACUGCGAAUAAUGUCAAAUACCACAGAAAAGUAUAAAACAUUGUGGACGGAGUCUUUUGUUUGUUAUGAAAAUCAAACUUUUCGAACUAACUAUAGGUCGGAGUUGAAGUACAAAAUCGAAUCAAAAAAAUUGAGUUUUAAAAUUCGUUAUCAAAAUAUACAAAGCACAUUCGCAAUCCGAGCACAUAUUUACGCGAGGAACGCCUACUUCAAAAUAAUUUUUGCGCAGUUUUAUUGUGUAGUAAUUCGCACAAUAUUGACUUGCACAAGUCUCGUUUUGUACAAUGCUUUUGUGUGGUGUAGGUACCCUAUUAAUCUUUUGGUUAAUACAUAUGUGCAAAAUUAGUUGCCAUGGAAAUAAUUUUUAUUUUUCGAGCAGUGGUGACUUACCGUCAGUAUUCACGAAAAAUAUAUUGAAUAUUUCUCAAAGAUUUACCCGUUGCGGACGGAGCGCUGCCACAUUGUGGGUACCAUAUAUGAGGAAUUUCGCAAAAAGGAGUUCUACCCGAAAAAACUUCGGACAGCCCUGGUUUGGGCUCGACCAUGGUUAUUUUUUCAAAGCGCGGAAAGGAGUUCCACAUAAUUGUAAACACAUAAACCUUUUCAGCUAUUAGUGUGUUAAGUGAUUUUUAAAAUAAGUAAUUUAUUUAUUUUCAAAUAAAUUUGAAUGUUAAUAGUGUAAGUUUUGAAUAUGUGAAGUGAAAAAUGUGAUAAAAUUGCGUUAAAGUGUGUGAAAUACUGUGUGUUACUUAUAGAAAAAUUUUGACUUUUAAAUACAAAUAUUUCAAAAACUAAGUC